rnacentral:rRNA from 1 species
CGAAAGCCUGACGGAGCAAUACCGCGUGAGGGAGGAAGGCUCUUGGGUUGUAAACCUCUUUUCUCAAGGAAUAAGAAAGUGAAGGUACUUGAGGAAUAAGCAUCGGCUAACUCCGUGCCAGCAGCCGCGGUAAUACGGAGGAUGCAAGCGUUAUCCGGAAUGAUUGGGCGUAAAGCGUCCGCAGGUGGCAUUGAAAGUCUGCUGUUAAAGAGUCUGGCUCAACCAGAUAAAGGCAGUGGAAACUACAAAGCUAGAGUGCGUUCGGGGUAGAGGGAAUUCCUGGUGUAGCGGUGAAAUGCGUAGAGAUCAGGAAGAACACCGGUGGCGAAGGCGCUCUACUAGGCCGCAACUGACACUGAGGGACGAAAGCUAGGGGAGCGAAUGGGAUUAGAUACCCCAGUAGUCCUAGCCGUAAACGAUGGAUACUAGGCGUUGCUUGUAUCGACCCGAGCAGUGCCGUAGCUAGCGCGUUAAGUAUCCCGCCUGGGGAGUACGCACGCAAGUGUGAUACUCAAAGGAAUUGACGGGGGCCCGCACAAGCGGUGGAGUAUGUGGUUUAAUUCGAUGCAACGCGAAGAACCUUACCAGGGCUUGACAUGUCGCGAAUCCCGGUGAAAGCUGGGAGUGCCUUAGGGAGCGCGAACACAGGUGGUGCAUGGCUGUCGUCAGCUCGUGUCGUGAGAUGUUGGGUUAAGUCCCGCAACGAGCGCAACCCUCGUUGUUAGUUGCCAGCACUUAGGGUGGGCACUCUAACAAGACUGCCGGCGACAAACCGGAGGAAGGUGGGGAUGACGUCAAGUCAGCAUGCCCCUUACGUCCUGGGCUACACACGUACUACAAUGCGACGGACAGAGGGCAGCGAGCAUGCGAAUGCAAGCAAAUCCCGAAAACCGGCGCUCAGUUCAGAUCGAAGGCUGCAACUCGCCCUCGUGAAGGUGGAAUCGCUAGUAAUUGCAGGUCAGCAUACUGCAGUGAAUUCGUUCCCGGGCCUUGUACACACCGCCCGUCACACCAUGGAAGCUGGUAGUGCCCGAAGUCGUUACCCCAACCUUUCGGGGAGGGGGAUGCCUAAGGCAGGACUGGUGACUGGGGUGAA